UGACGGGCAGAUAAAUGUUCUGGCCCAUAUGAAACUGGGAGACCACCGUCAGCAGGAAGGCUGGAAGUAGAUGCAGUCUGACCUUGUCCUUGUAAAAGACCACAUAGGGUGGUUCCAAGGUAAGUGCCCAAAUCUCAGAGACCCUACGGGCUGAAGUUAUUGUGACCUUCCAAGAAAGGAGGAGAAGAGAACAUGGCACCAGAGGCUCAAAGGGGAGCCAUGAGCCAGGAUAACACGAGAUUUAGGUCCCACAGAGGAACUGGGUCCCUGACAUGUGGAUAAAGGUGCUUGAGGCCUUUGAGGAACCUGGCAGUCAUGUCAUGGGCGAAAACUAAUCCGUCCUUGAACGGCAGAUGGAAAGCUGAAAUAGCAGCCAGAUGGACAACAGACAGAGGCCUUGGAGUUUGAGAUGCAGAAGGUAGUCCAGGAUUAACUGCAGCGAAGCCAGCUCGGGACGAAUGCCUUUGAGGACCAGUACAUAAACUGCCUGCACUUGGCCAUGUAGAUUGUUUUAGUGGAGGGCUUUCUGCUGCCCAGCAAGACGUGCUGGACUCUGGCUGAGCACUCUUGCUCCUCCACAUUUAGCCAUGCAGCAGCCAAGACACCAGGUGCAAUGCUGCCAGGUUCUGGUGCAGGAAGGCACCGUGAGUUUUGUGACAGCAAAACCAGCCAGAGUGGUAGCUGUAAUGGAGCAGCCACAGAGAGAUCCAGCAGCAUGCCAAACCAGUGCUGGCGCAGUCAAGCCGGCACUACGAAGAUCAUCUUUGCCCUGUUCUGCUUGAUAUUCAUGAGGACUCUGUGGAUCAACAGAACUGGGGGAAAGAUAAUUAAAGCCCCUGACCAUGGGAGCAGAAAAGUGUACGAUAGAGCCUCUGUCAGACCCCUGAAAUGAGCAGGGAACGUGGCACUUCCUGUUGUGCCUGGAUGAAAACAGCUCCACCUGGGGAGUUCCCCACCUGUGGCAGAUGAUGCUGACCACCUCCGGAUGGAGAGACCACGCAUGGCGAGACCAGAUGAUCCCGCUGAGGUGAUCUGCCAAGGUGUUCCUGGCCCUGGGGAGGUGUGCGGCUAUGAGAUGGAUGUCAUGUUGUACACAGAAGUCCCAUAGCCUGAGGCCUUCUUGGCAAAGGGCAGACGACCUGGCCCAGCCUUGCUUGUUGAUAUAGAACACAGCCGCUGCACUGUCUAUCAGGGCCUGGACCACCUUGCUUUUUAGGUGAGGUAGGAAGGCAUGGCAGGCGAAGUGGACCAUUCUGAGCUCCCUGACAUUGAUGUGUAGUGAACACUCGAGGUGGGACCAACAACCUUGCAUGCUGAGAUUGCCCAGGUGGGCUCCCCAUCCCAGGUCUGAAGCAUCAAAGAUGAGGGUAACAUGAAUGGAACUCCCCCUAACACCGAUGCAGGAUUUUGCCACCAUGCAAGUGACGACAGGAUGUGGUCCGGGACCUUGACUACACGGUCCAUGUUGUGUCUGUUGGGGAUGUAGACCAAUGCCAGCCAUGCCUGCAGCCCCCUGAGGUGGAGUCACCCAUGCUGAACCAUCCCCAGGUCAUGACAGGUGGAGAAAACCAGGUCGAGAUGACGCCGUACCUGAUCCCAGGAUCGAUCUUUUAUUAACCAGUUGUGAGGUACGGGUAAAUCUGCAUGCCUUUGCGCCUCAGAAGCAGGACAGAGGGACACUCCACAACCUUGACGGCGGCAGAGGAGGCAGCGGCUGGAAUGGCUUUCUAGCCUCUUGAAGGGUGUGCAGGCCCAAAGACUGGAGGAUGGCAUGGAAGUCUUUAAAGCUGUGGAGCCAUGCAUCGGUCAGCUAUGAGAAGAGCCCUGCUCUCUCAAACGGGAGAUCCUGAAGGGUAGUCUGCAUCUCCUGGGACAGCCUGGAGGACAGUAACCAGGAGCUGCGCUUCAUGACCACCGCAGAGGCGACCACCCUGGCCAACAAGUUUGUAGUGUCCUGGGACAUCUGGAGGGCGCCUCUCACCACUCCUUUGCCCUUAUCCAUGAAGGUGGCAAACGCCUGGCCUUGGUUCUGUGGUCCUCCAUGAGCUUGCUGAUAGAGUUC